CCUACGGGGGGCUGCAGUGAGGAAUAUUGGUCAAUGGACGAGAGUCUGAACCAGCCAAGUAGCGUGAAGGAUGACUGCCCUAUGGGUUGUAAACUUCUUUUAUAUGGGAAUAAAAUGUUCCACGUGUGGGAUUUUGUAUGUACCAUAUGAAUAAGGAUCGGCUAACUCCGUGCCAGCAGCCGCGGUAAUACGGAGGAUCCGAGCGUUAUCCGGAUUUAUUGGGUUUAAAGGGAGCGUAGGUGGAUUGUUAAGUCAGUUGUGAAAGUUUGCGGUUCAACCGUAAAAUUGCAGUUGAAACUGGCAGUCUUGAGUACAGUAAAGGUGGGCGGAAUUCGUGGUGUAGCGGUGAAAUGCUUAGAUAUCACGAAGAACUCCGAUUGCGAAGGCAGUUCACUGGACUGCAACUGACACUGAGGCUCGAAAGUGUGGGUAUCAAACAGGAUUAGAUACCCCAGUAGUC
rnacentral:rRNA from 1 species